UCACGGGAUUGGAACAGAAAUGAUAUUUUCGCAAAAUUUAUUUCUGUCCUUCCCCAACUUGCAUUACCUGUAGAAUUUCUUUUCGAAUUUCUCUGUGUUGGGCCCCGCCAACUUGCAUUACCUGUAGAAUUUCUUUUCGAAAUUCUUUGUGUUGGGGGCCCGCCAUUAUAACACUGUAGGUCCUACUAUAUUAAUUUAU
rnacentral:ncRNA from 1 species